rnacentral:rRNA from 1 species
CUGUUCCUACGGGGCGCAGCAGUGGGGAAUAUUGCACAAUGGGGGAAACCCUGAUGCAGCGACGCCGCGUGGGUGACGAAGUAUUUCGGUAUGUAAAGCCCUAUCAGCAGGGAAGAAGAUGACAGUACCUGACUAAGAAGCCCCGGCUAACUACGUGCCAGCAGCCGCGGUAAUACGUAGGGGGCAAGCGUUAUCCGGAAUUACUGGGUGUAAAGGGAGCGUAGACGGCAAUGCAAGUUCGGAGUGGAAUGCGGCAGCUCAACUGCCGAACUGCUUUGGAAACUGUACAGCUAGAGUGCAGGAGG